CUAGUUUUCCUUAUAUUUCUUUGUUAUAUCUAAUUUCAAUUCAUCGUAGUCUACACUAUGAAUUAGCAGGGUUUUGGCACAGUCUCUACCCAUAGAAUCCAAUGAAUAAAACAUGAUUUAUGAAGAUUUAUUGGAUAAAACCAAUCACUGGAGGAAAUGUGAAAAUGACUUGAAUUCAGAUUGUGUAUUUCAGCGUGUUAUUUCUUAUGUAUGUUAUGGUAUACACACUAAGUUUGUUGAUAUGUAGUGUAGACAUUGUUUGAAGAUGCAUGCGAAUUUAAUCUGCUCACCAGAGUAAUUCGCACAUUUUGUCAAUUUCUCUUGUCUUCAAUUGGCAAAUGUAUGUUGCCAUAUAUAACUUUGAAGUACAUUUUCAUGGCACUUGAAUUAAACAUAUUUUUGGCGUCGUAUGCAAAUAUAUGCUGACGUAAAAGAUCAUGUGGUUUUUGUCGUAGAUCUAUGAACGACGACCUUUUUUUUCUUCCUACUGUUGUCUUUAGGUUAUGCCAGAAUCUUUAGAAUUACCAGCGCUAUAUGCGCGUCACCACAGACUACUUAUAAUUGGGAAUUUUACUGCUAGUUUAUCGUCCCAGCACCGAAAGGCUCUAGGCAGAUUCCAGAAGAGGCUACCCAGAGUGCCGCUGGACCGGAGACCAAAGGAGAGCUGGAGAGGGAAGAGAGUGGAGGCGGAACUGGAGCCAGAUAGGACACCUCCACCCAGGGAAGCCCCACCCUACUGCGGAAGUGCAGUGAAUGACAUCUGUGAUGAACUCUAAUGAAGCCGCACACGGGAGCUGACGUCCACAGUCAGCAGGAGACACCACUGCAAACCCAGGACAGAAGUGGAGCAGGGUCUUCCUCAAACACUGGAGACUUACCCUCCCUUUGACCCAAAUAACA
rnacentral:lncRNA from 1 species